rnacentral:misc_RNA from 1 species
AAGUAAGCAACUGAUUUAAUAUGCUUUUAUUUAGCAUACUAUUCAGUCCAAAAUUUGAAAACAUAACAAUUCCACAUAAAAUUUGAACUUUUCGCUCGUAACUAAAUAGAAAAUAAAACCACCAAAAUAAUUAUAGAUUAUGUAUACCAAGUCGACAUUGUUCAAUAAUCAAACAAAUAUAUUAUCUAUUUUUAUACACACAGCCAAAAUCCUCAAUUCGAAAAUAGCGAGCUCGAAAAUUACAGAUAUAAAAAAUCCGCUGCAACUGCAAGCGGAUUUUUAGGGUUAUUAAAAC